CACGUAGGCAUCAAGCGUUGUCCGGAUUUAUUGGGCGUAAAGAGCUCGUAGGCGGUUCAGUAAGUCGGGUGUGAAAACUCAGGGCUUAACCCUGAGACGCCACUCGAUACUGCUGGGCUAGAAUUCGGUAGGGGAGUGGGGAAUUCCUGGUGUAGCGGUGAAAUGCGCAGAUAUCAGGAGGAACACCGGUGGCGAAGGCGCCGCUCUGGGCCGAAACUGACGCUGAGGAGCGAAAGCGUGGGUAGCAAACAGG
rnacentral:misc_RNA from 1 species